GACGUAGGGGGCCAGCGUUGUUCGGAAUUACUGGGUGGUAAAGGGUUCGUAGGCGGUGCGGCAAGUUGGGAGUGAAAUCCUCCGGCUCAACCGGAGAACUGCCUCGGAUACUGGGUGCCUCGAGGGUGGUAGGGGUAUGCGGAACUAUCGGUGGAGCGGUGAAAUGCGUUGAUAUCGAUAGGAACUCCGGUGGCGAAGGCGGCAUACUGGACCACCUCUGACGCUGGAGGCACGAAAGCGUGGGGAGCAAACAGG
rnacentral:rRNA from 1 species